AUUGAACGCUGGCGGCAUGCCUUACACAUGUAAGUCGAACGGCAGCACGGGAGCAAUCCUGGUGGCGAGUGGCGAACGGGUGAGUAAAGUAUCGGAACGUGCCCAGGCGUGGGGGAUAACGUAGCGAAAGUUACUCUAAUACCGCAUACGAUCUAUGGAUGAAAGCGGGGGAUCGCAAGACCUCGCGCGAUUGGAGCGGCCGGUAUCAGAUUAGGUAUGUGGUGGUGUAAAGGCUCACCAAGCCGAAGAGCUGUAGCUGGUCUGAGAGGACAACCAGCAACAGUGGGCAUGAGACACGGCCCAGACUCCUGCGGGAGGGAGCAGUGGGGAAGUUUGGACAAUGGGCGAAAGCCUGAUCCGGCCAUGCCGCGUGCAGGAUGAAGGCCUUCGGGUUGUAAACUGCUUUUGUACGGAACGAAAAGGUUUGGGCUAAUCAGCUGAGCUCAUGACGGUACCGUAAGAAUAAGCACCGGCUAACUGCGUGCCAGCCGCCGCGGUAA
rnacentral:rRNA from 1 species